rnacentral:rRNA from 1 species
GAUGAACGCUGGCGGCGUGCCUAAUACAUGCAAGUCGAGCGAACGGACGAGAAGCUUGCUUCUCUGAUGCUAGCGGCGGACGGGUGAGUAACACGUGGAUAACCUACCUAUAAGACUGGGAUGACUUCGGGAAACCGGAGCUAAUACCGGAUGAUAUUUUGAACCGCAUGGUUCAAAAGUGAAAGACGGUCUUGCUGUCACUUAUAGAUGGAUCCGCGCUGCAUUAGCUAGUUGGUAAGGUAACGGCUUACCAAGGCAACGAUGCAUAGCCGACCUGAGAGGGUGAUCUGCCACACUGGAACUGAGACACGGUCCAGACUCCUACGGGAGGCAGCAGUAGGGAAUCUUCCGCAAUGGGCGAAAGCCUGACGGAGCAACGCCGCGUGAGUGAUGAAGGUCUUCGGAUCGUAAAACUCUGUUAUUAGGGAAGAACAUAUGUGUAAGUAACUGUGCACAUCUUGACGGUACCUAAUCAGAAAGCCACGGCUAACUACGUG